rnacentral:misc_RNA from 1 species
GUGAAUCAUCGAAUUUUUGAACGCAAAUUGCACUUUCUGGUAUUCCGGAAAGUAUGCCUGUUUGAGGGUCAGUUAAAUAAAAAUCGGUGGUGUUUCUGCUUUUCGUUGUUACGCCUCGGGAUUGAGUUGUCUUACCUUUGGUUAAGUUGCUUAAAAUUUUUCCUUAUUUUUGUACGAAUUUAAAUUUCUUACGUACGUUUGGGUUAU